rnacentral:rRNA from 1 species
AUCUACGGCCUUGCCACCCUGAACAAGUCUGAUCCUGUCUAAUCUCAGAAGUUAAGCAGGGUCGGGUUGGGUUAGUACUUGGAUAGUAGACCACCUAGGAAGACUAGGUGCUGUAGGUG